rnacentral:rRNA from 1 species
GUAUGUUGACGUAUUCUGAAAGGGAUACUUCUUCGGACAAUAUACAAGGUGCUGCAUGGUUGUCGUCAGCUCGUGCCGUGAGGUGUCGGGUUAAGUCCCAUAACGAGCGCAACCCCUAUCAUUAGUUGCCAUCAGGUCAAGCUGGGGACUCUAAUGAAACUGCCUACGCAAGUAGUGAGGAAGGUGGGGAUGACGUCAAAUCAGCACGGCCCUUACGUCCAGGGCUACACACGUGCUACAAUGGCCGGUACAAAGGGCAGCUACCUGGUGACAGGAUGCUAAUCUCAAAAGCCGGUCUCAGUUCGGAUCGGAGUCUGCAACCCGACUCCGUGAAGCUGGAAUCGCUAGUAAUCGUGCAUCAGCCAUGGCGCGGUGAAUACGUUCCCGGGCCUU